GAUCCCGUAGCUCAGUUGGAUAGAGCACUAGUUUCCUAAACUGGGGGUCGUAGGUUCAAUUCCUACCGGGAUCA
rnacentral:tRNA from 1 species